rnacentral:rRNA from 1 species
ACACGGAGGGUGCAGGCGUUAAUCGGAAUUACUGGGCGUAAAGCGCACGCAGGCGGUUUGUUAAGUCAGAUGUGAAAUCCCCGGGCUCAACCUGGGAACUGCAUCUGAUACUGGCAAGCUUGAGUCUCGUAGAGGGGGGUAGAAUUCCAGGUGUAGCGGUGAAAUGCGUAGAGAUCUGGAGGAAUACCGGUGGCGAAGGCGGCCCCCUGGACGAAGACUGACGCUCAGGUGCGAAAGCGUGGGGAGCAAACAGGAUUAGAUACCCUGGUAGUCCACGCCGUAAACGAUGUCGACUUGGAGGUUGUGCCCUUGAGGCGUGGCUUCCGGAGCUAACGCGUUAAGUCG